ACGUCAGUGGUGCAACGAGUUGGAAGCACGUGCCCCGGGAUCGAGUGAGAUGCGGGUUCGAGUCCCGCCUGACGCG